rnacentral:tRNA from 1 species
GAGGGUAGAGCUCAGUGGUAGAGCACAUGCCUAGCAUGCACAAGGUCCUGGGUUCAAUCCCCAGUCCCUCCA